GUGGGGAAUAUUGCACAAUGGGGGAAACCCUGAUGCAGCAACGCCGCGUGAAGGAAGAAGGUCUUCGGAUUGUAAACUUUUGUCUUGUGGGACGAUAAUGACGGUACCACAGGAGGAAGCAACGGCUAACUACGUGCCAGCAGCCGCGGUAAUACGUAGGUUGCGAGCGUUGUCCGGAUUUACUGGGUGUAAAGGGUGCGUAGGCGGGAACGCAAGUCAGAUGUGAAAGACCACGGCUCAACCGUGGUACUGCAUUUGAAACUGUGUUUCUUGAGUGCAGGAGAGGUAAGCGGAAUUCCCAGUGUAGCGGUGAAAUGCGUAGAUAUUGGGAGGAACACCAGUGGCGAAGGCGGCUUACUGGACUGUAACUGACGCUGAAGCACGAAAGCGUGGGGAUCAAACAGGA
rnacentral:rRNA from 1 species